AGAAAGCCUGAGGUUGGGACCAGGAAACCCCCAGCACCUCCAUUGCUGGCUGAUUGAGAGGACCAGUCGGCUGAAGGGAGGCUGAGGAAGGGUGGUGUCACUAGGUCACUAGUUUGUCACAGGGUGACACAGCCACACACACGGAGACCGAGGUCCCCAGAGGGGCCUGUUUGAGCCCUAGCUCGCUGUUCUGCCCCAGUGAGAAUGACUGGGGGACUUGCUUUCUCUGUUCCCCGCACUGGGAACAGAAAUAGAACCGGGAAGGGUUUGCCAGUGUUUUGGGUGCUGAGUCCCUGAGGGGGUUGGGGCCUGCUAACGAGGGUCUGGCAGUCACAGUGCUGGCAUCCGAAUGUGUGCAUCCCUGGGAGGUAGCCAGGUGCGGCAGAAUGUCACUGGGUGUCGCUAGAGAUGCUACACAGGAAGGACAGCCACUUGCCCACAGUCCCCUGGCACUGACCUUCAGAGCUGAGACCAGAACCCCAGCCUCGCUUUCACCUGGGACUCCUCCAGCAGCUGGACUGAGAGCCACCCUGGUGAAGCCUCUGUCUUAGCACAUGGUGGUAUUUAGUGCUUCCCAUAUUAAGAUGAGCCAGGACUGUGAGGGGGUCGAAAAGACAGAUAGUACAGAAUGUGGCAUGGUCACCAGAGGUAGCUUCAGAAUCUCAAUGGAACCACCACACAACUGCUUGCUGUCUGAACCCAGAGAGUGAGUCUCCUGUCACCAGAGGAAUUGAGACCCAGAGUGGCAGUGGGAGCCUGAGGCCUGGGCCAGUCUGGAAGACCGUUUCUCCUCUGGGAAGUCAUAGGCCCUUGUGAGGAGGAUGGGGUGGGGCUCCAGCCCGUCUCCCUGUCAGAGGCCUCUCUGGCCACGCAGCCCCCAGCCACAGCAGAACAUCCCGGCUAGCCCGCCUCCCAUGGAUGGCCCCGUGCUGUCUCCACAGCCAAGUGGGCCUCCUUCUUUCCCCAGCUCCGCCCUGAGUGCCCGAGCAGGGGCAUGUCCAGUUACGAGGCAUUUGUUGACUGGCUGGGGUGGGGAGUGGCGGCCUCCCCACCCCCUUCUCUCUCCUGCGUGGGCCCUGGGAGCAGGCACGGGCCCCCAACAGUUCUCUGGCAUCUGGGAGGCUGGCGGGAACUGCCAUGAGCUGCUCUGACCGCCUUCAAGGGCACUGCCAGGAAUAGAUGCGGCCACCCUGCCGCCUGCGUGGGUCUGGCAGCCUCAGAGUGCCCUUUCUCCAGACUCUGCGCACUUCCCAGGGAGCGUCAUCCCCGACUGCCUGCUUCCUUACGAGUGAAAGCUCAGCUUGGUGCCUGCUCCCAGCUCUUCAGAAAGUGUCGAGCCACUUUUUCCCAACACAGCCCAGCAGAUGCUACCCCACCCACCUCUCAGCCAACAAGCUGCAGCCACUGGCCAGUCAACCAGACGCGGAGCCAGCUGAUUCCUUGAUGCCCGCCUGGUGCAGCCUAAAAAGCAGCCCCCGAAGGGUCUGUCCAAACAGGAGCCCUUAGUGACAGAGUUGUUCGCCUUUGAUUGGCAGCCAAGAAACAAUGUCAGGAAGGUAAGGUGUCUCGCUUAGAGCCACAGCUUGCCAAGGGCAGAAGCGAGCCACCAAGCCACAGCUGCCGGCCCCAGCCAGUAGCGUGGGGUCCACUGUGGAGAGAUGGCUCUGGAGGCGGAGGAGUGGGGCUCAAGGGAGAAGGGGGUACCUGAAUCCUUUUAGGUGUUUGGCAUUCAGACAAGAAGAGGAAGGAUGUCAUCCAAGACGUGGGGAACAACGGGUUACCUCUGAGUGCCAGUGAGUGGACCAGUGUGGUCCAGAAAGUCUGCUCAUGGGAGCAGAGAAAGGGAAUGUGACCGCAUGGACCCCAGGGAAAGGGGCACUGAAGGCACUGGGCACUCUGCCAGGAGGCUGGCUGCACGGCUCCCGGUGGGUGGGAGACUCUCUGCCACCCGUUCCUUCAUUCUUAUAGGAUUCACUGUAUGGCCCUUUGGCACUUACGACAGGUCCUAUGCCAGGACCUGGGGACGGAGCACCAAAAAGGUCCCUGCCCUCAUGACACACACAGUCUAGCGGAGGGAGACCAUCAAUAAAAACAACAAGUCAAGAUGGGAUAGAUUGGGAGGUGAUGGAAACAGCGAAGCCGACUAAGGGGGAGAGGAUGCUGGCCCUGGGUUCAAGGGACAGCUAUUUGAUAUAGAAUGGCUAGGGAAAGCCUCUCUGAUAAGGUGACAUUUGAGAAGAAUCCUGAAGGAAAUGAGGGAAUGAACCAAGUAAGCAUGUGGAAGAAGAGUCUUCCAGGCAGACAGAUAGCCGGUGCAAAGGCCCCGAGGCAGACGUGUGCUGAGCCAGCUGGAGGAAGAGCCAUCUACAACCUGUGGAACGAAGGAGGCUACAAGAGUAUCUCAGCUCACCUCCUAAGACCAAGCUGUUCAAAUAGCCCAUUCUGCAUGCACGGCCCUAUUCCUGUGUCUCACGAAGAGCUAGUGGGAUUCCUUCUCUCGGCUAGGCGAGACAGCUGAGACACCUUUGCUGAAAGGAGAUACAAAGACGGACUUUGGAAUCUGUGAGUCAGCCAGGAGAGAACAGACGGGGCCCUGAAUUCUUCACCUCAAGGUGCCUCCCUAAUUUAACGUGUGGCUCUUUUCUUUGCCUGCUACCCCCUGCCCACUGUUCCUCCUUCCACAUGCAGGCCCUGAACACAGCCUGCUCCAGCUAGUGAGAACUGAAGCCCCCGCCUGGGAGGGGAGUCCCGAGGGGCACCAGGGCUUCCUGGAGGAGGAGCCCAAGGAGUGUAGACCUUUGGUGUGGUCAGAGCAGGGCAAGAGAGAAGCAAAGGCUGAGAGGCUGCCGUGAGCAUGUGCGUGUGCAUGCAUGUGUGUAUGUGUAUGUGUACAUGUGUACGUGUGCGUCUGAGAGGCCCCACUGCGGUGGGGAAAAGAUUCGUGUAUGGGAAAAGUGGAGAAGGGUGGUGAGGUUCUGGCCUUGUACCUGUUCCCCUCUCCUUUAGGACCUGAGUUUGUUCUUUUUCCCUCUUUGUGUUUGUGUCUGUUUUUCUGCCUGAGUCUAUCAGUGCCUCUGCGUGUCUGUGGGAAUGUCUCUGUCUGUGUCUGUGGUUCUCAGGCUCUCAGUUUCCCCUCUGCGUGUGCCUGUCUGUUCGGCUGGGUCUCUUUUGGUCUCCCUCCCCCUCUCCUCCCUGCCCCCUCUCCUCUUUCUCUCAGAACAGGAAGAGGCCUGCAAAGGACUGCCAUUUCCCCCCUCCGCCUCCCCACCCCGUUCCCUCCCCAGGUUUUUUCUCUCCUCCUUAUUCAAGGCAGAUAAAGUGCGCACAGCUGCUCCCAGCUGAAACGGGCCUUAAUUGCACCCCCGUUGCCAUGGCGAUCCCUGAUGAUCUCCGUGGCUGGAAUGUCGCCCUCCCGAUCUCCCUGCUGGGGCCUCCGGGCUGCACAGCUUCGCUGGCCCCGGAGCUGACCCCGUGCGGCACCCU